rnacentral:rRNA from 1 species
UACGGGGGGGGCAAGCGUUGUUCGGAAUUACUGGGCGUAAAGGGUUCGUAGGUGGCUUGCUAAGUCAGACGUGAAAUCCCUCAGCUUAACUGGGGAACUGCGUCUGAUACUGGCGAGCUUGAGUGCAGGAGAGGAACGCAGAAUUCCAGGUGUGGCGGUGAAAUGCGUAGAUAUCUGGAGGAAUACCGGUGGCGAAGGCGGCGUUCUGGACUGCAACUGACACUGAUGAACGAAAGCCAGGGGAGCAAACGGG